rnacentral:sRNA from 1 species
GUUCGAUUCGAGCGCAGCGAGAAAGCGUUGCCAACGGCAACGGCCCGAAGGGCGAAGCGCGCAGCGCUGAGUCAUCCUUCCCCCACCACCA